UGUUAGCACACAGGAUAGGCAAGGGGUCACCGCUACAUGAGUCCCCGGGAAGGGGUGGCCCUGCUCCUUCUCGGCUGUUGCCCUGACAGUCACCACUGACUGAGCAGCCGGAGGCAGCACCCGCUGCUGCUCCAGGCAUGUGAGUGCAGGGGGCCCAGUCCCUGUGGGACCGAGGCAGUGGGCAAAUAUGCUGAGGGACCCAGGGUGUGAUACUGUGAUUCCAGACCCUUGGGCUUCCCAAAGGACAAGCGCAGCAGGAGAGUUCUCGCAUUAGAACAUUGUCAUCGAUUCCCAAAAUUGCUCCCGAGCCAUCCAGGGAGAGCUGGUGUCUUAUGGUAGCGAGGUGAUGUUUUGGAAGGCCCUAAGGUUGGGGACUAGUGGCUAGGGGGCCCAGCCAUGUGAUUAGAGGAUUGGAACUUGGACCCACUGCUAGAGCUUCAGGGAUGGAAGAGGGGCUGGAUGUGGAAUCAGUCACCAGUGGUCAGUGAUUGAAUUAGUCAUGCCUGUGGAGUGACGCUUCCAUAACACCAGAAGGACGGGGUUUGGAGGGCUUCCAGGUUACUGAAUGAGGAUGCGUCUGUGCUGGGAGGAGGGCGCAUCCCAGCUCCAUGGGGAUGAGCUCCUGUGCUUGGCACUCAUAGACCUCACCCUGUGGAUCUCUACAUCUGGCUGUGGAUUCGUGUCCUUUAAUAUCCUCUGCAGUAAGCUGGUAAUGUAGUGAGUGGACUGGUUUCCUAAGUUUUGUGAGCUGCUGUAGCAAAUUAACAGAACCAAGGAAGAUGUGUUGGCAACCUCCGACUUAUAGCCAGUGGUUAGAAGCACAGGUGCCCACCUGGACUUGCAGUGGCAUCCGACAUGGGGCGGAACACGGGUUCCUGGGUUCACCUCCUAAAUAGAUCCUGGGAUCUGCUUUCGAAGGAAGUGCAGACAGGCAGUGAUGCACUGAUGGGGUGGAGUGGGUGUCCCUGCCGCCGGCAUGAGUCCUGCACCAGUGCUGGGUGAGUGGGCACGUGGCCGCCACGUGGCGUUUCCUCCUGGACCGUGCCUGUGAUGUGGCCGUUGGUCAUGAGGUGUGGAGUCCAGGUGGCUCACGUUACUUCCCUAAGCUUCUCGUCGCCCACAUCCCUGCUCAUGGUUGUCUUGUUCUCGCAGACGGAUCAUAGCUGCCACGUGUAAGGCACCUCCAGGAAGAGCUGCUCAGUCAUUGUUUUCCCUUCACUUAGCAGUUCCCUCCCACCUCCUGUUUCUGCUGCUUGAGGGCUGGGGACCAGUGCUCAGCCCUUAGGGGCCUGAGAGCUGGAACCCACACACCUUUCCACCUGUGGUCCUGUGGCUGGGAUGAGGCCCUUCAGAUACCACCUCCCUCUCUUCCAUGUGAGAGCUGGCGCUGAAGGAGACCCUGGAGAUACUUGACCCCCACCUGUAGGUCAGCAAGGCCUGUACACUCAGGGGGGCUGGCAUCAGCUGGUGAGGAGGGGCGUCUCCAAAAGCCGUGUGUCUGUCCAACUUUUAAAAUUAGAUAAUAGCAUAUUUAGAAGUUGUGAUUUGGAUUUUUGUGCUUCAUAGAAUGUUUUACUAUCACAAGAAAGAGAAAAAUAGAAUAAUGCCAGUAGGGAUGAAUGAGAUCUCACACCGUUUUUUCCUCCACACCGGAGCCUGGUGAAGGAAGACAGCACAGAACAUUCGGAGGUGCUGAAAUUGACAACGCUGAAAUGGAAAGUUUGGCUAAAUUUUUAAUAAUAUUUUGUGGGUUGUUUAUCUGCCCCUAAAAACAGGUAUUCAUCGGGAAAGCAGUUCUUUCCUGCAGUACUUCACCAUUUGUUGUUGUUGCUAUAUCUGUACAGAAAUGUUGCUUUGUAGGUUUACUGUGAAAACUGUACUCUUUUUUUCGCCCUCCGUGUGAAACUGAGUGGGUCACAGGCAGAAAAACAAGCAGGCGGUGGCUUGUUUGAACCUGUCUGAGUUUAGCAAGUCCUUGGCAUCAGGGAGCCUCUCACAGGCCAUCCAAACCUUGAUCUGCCUUUUGGCAGAAGUGAUUUUCAACAUUUUCCUAUUACACUUGUAGUAUUUUCUAUAAAGGGCAAGUGUGCACGUAUUUCUCACUUAACAUCAGUAACCCAUCCUGAAAAUCAGACAUUCUGCAUGAAAACACUGAGUCUAUUUCUCAUCAUAUUAAGUCGGGGAAAUUAUUAACACAGUCAAUCUCCUAAAACACAACUGAGACACUGGUGAAAGACCUUUAUGUGAGAAAUAGGCCAUCCUGUUAGGAUGUAAAACGUGGUUCCCUGAUUUCUAGAGAACUGCUGUGGGGUAUUUGCUGUUGCUGUUCCUGGGGUCACGCCCAGAGCCCCUGUGUUGGCGGCACGUCAGCAACCCAGCUGACACCUUUCAGAUGCGUGUGCAGCGUGCUUCUCCUGAUUGAACUGGGAAUCCAGCUUGAGGGUUUUUUUUUCCCUGCAUGUUGUUUUGAGGAAAUUGUUGCUUUACUUUUUUGACAUAAAUACAAAAUUUACCCCUUUAACAACCAUUGACUGAAAUACGUAUUAGAAGAAUUAUAUGACUUAUGAACUUUUAAACUAUCAGAAACCAAAAGGCCUUCUACCAAAAGCAUUGAUCAGGAUGACUUCCGGAGGUGUGCCCGUGUUUGUGGUAUGACUGAUGUUAAUAGACGACGAGGUUAAGGAGGUGUUUUUUCUGCAUUUUGAAAUAAUUUGUGUGGUGGAAAUGAAAUUUAAAUUAAUUCAAAAAUACUCUGGACUCUAUCUCCAAUUUUUCCCACUGAAGAUAAUUUUUAAGGAAGGCAUAUUGGUUUUCAGGGAAGGACGGCAGAUUGAACACGUGCACACAGUGUCGCUGCCUGCCACCCAUCCCUAAACGAGCAGUAGAGUGAUGUUUGAAAAAGUCAUACUCACAUGACUGGGUGAAGUGAGAGGAGACGAACACAGUCUUGAGAGCUGGGAAGCUGACGGGUGAGUCAGGACUGACUUAGCAGGUCUGAGAAAGCCAGGUUCUGUGUUGGCAGAGAGGACAGCUGAGCACUGGUCCUGUCUGCAUCACAGAAUCCUCAAAAGGCUCAAAAUUUAGAGGCACCGGGGACUUUAAAAAAAUGAGAGAGAGAAUCACAGUGAGGAGCAGAAAACAAGAGGCUAACAAGAAGGAUUAGGAAGACUUGAAAGGGACCAAAUAGAAUCUCUAGAAGCAAAUAAUAGUUGACAUUUAAAAACUGACCAACAGGCUAAAUAUCAGAGUAUGCAUAGUUGAAGAGAGACUUUGUAGACAAGCUGAAAGGAGUUUAUUAAGAACAGCAAAGAGUUAACAGAAUAGAAAAUAUGGCAGAAAUUGGUUGGGAUGUGGAGGACAGAAUGCAGAAGUUUAAGAUGCAUUUGAUUUCAGCCCCGAAAGGGAAGAUAGAACGGAGAAGAGGCGAUAUGUGAAGAACCGUUGGCUGAAAAAUAAUCUGGAACUAAUGAAAGAUAUGAUGGAAAUAGUUUAUUUCAAACAGGAUGAAUAGCAUCCACAUUGAGAAACAUCACAGCAGAGCUCCAGGCACCAGAGACCAAGACAGGAUUUAAAGCAACCAGAAAUGAGACCCUCCAGCCAGACGGCAGGUCCUGACAUGGCUCCUCUGCAGUCUCAGCACCCGCGGACCACAGUGGGAGCGAUCUGAGACACUGGCCUCCCGCAAGGUUACCUUUUCAGAGCUAGGUAGAAAUAUUAGUUUCAGAUAAACAAAGAAAGCGUGUUUACUACCGACAUUCUUCAUCAGAGACAGAAUGUGAUGCAGAAUGGAAUGGUUAACAAGUGAUGAACAUGUUUGCAUGAGAUAAUUAUACAUCGUAGGUUCAAAAGAGAGACCGCACGGCAGCAGCGUGGGUGAGGAUGAAGUUGAGAAUCUCCGAGAGAGAGCCGGCUUGGAAACCAGAGAAGAAUAUUAAAGCCUGGGAAGCCCAUUACCUGGAAAAUAACAGUUUCAGAGUUGGGACAGGGAGGAUAGUGACGGCAAGUCACCAGCAGGGUCAUGGGGAGAACAUCAAGGCCGACUGCGCGGACGGGCAGAAGACUGCAGGGCGCUCAGAGAUGCGGGCCAACUCAAGGUCGGGAAGCUUUGGGCUUCUUAGUGGCAAUUCUGGAAUUUAGAUGUCCGUGAAGCAGUAAGUUCAAAAUUUUGAAGGAAAGUGACUUUCCAUACAGUCCUGUUUACUCGUGGAAACUGCUGGAGGCCUGGGGGUUUGCCCCGCCCUCCCUGUCCUGGAAGUGACUGAGCCAGUCUUUCCCAGACAGGGUAGUGAUGGGGAGCUGAUCCUUGGGGCUCAGGGUGUGCUGUGAAGGGAGGCCCCGGAAAGGGCGGUGCCCCUGUGGAUAGAGCCAUCUCAGUCCUUGAAACCAGGCACAUGGACUGCUGACCAUGGCAGAGCCAUCGGUACCGUGCGUGUUCACACACUGGAAGCAGAGCAGACCUGGGCAUCACGCAUGUCUACCUCACAGUGUGUCCGCAGGUUCUCCGAUGCAGCUGCCGCCCCGUGUCCAGGAGCCUCAUGUUUUUCAGCUCUCAGGUUUGCAUGUGAGCCCUUUUGAUGGAUUCCAGUUCUUAGGUGAAAUUCUUCAUCCAUCGUCUGUUUUCACGAAUCCAUUAGUUGGGGGUAUUUUAAAGUCCCUGCGUUGCUGCAGGGUCCCCGUGACACUGGCGGCCAAGCCAGACUCGCUUCCGGGGCUCUGCCGGCCACACUGCCGCUCGGUGCCUGCCUGCCUGCCCCCCAGGGGAUGUCCGGGCUCAGCUGCAGAGCAAUGCCCACCCCUCCAGGGGCUCCAGGGUCCUGGCUGUUGGGUAGCAUUUCCUUGCCUUCAAAGAGAUUUCUUUAAAACUUCUUUAAAAUCUGGUUUUCUACUUGUCCUCAGCAAGAGUUUUGGCUGCUGAUGGCUCUUCUGCCAUUGGGUGGAAUGUAUCAGCUGGGGGCCUUAAGAUCGGGUACACGUGGCUGCUGAGGUCUUCCGCCCUUGUGGUGCCCCUGGAGUCCCGCCAGCUGAGGCAGAGAAAACCAGGUGAUGUGGAGGACUAGGUCAGUGGCCGCGAGGGGCCCCAGGAUGGAUCGAAGCUCUGCAGCCCCUGUAGCUGCUUGCUAGCUGCUUGCUCUUUGUGGCCUUUGCUGUGGGAACUUUAGCCCCGUCCUGAAGCCUCUCUGCCUGUCAGCUGGGGCUUGGCCAUGUGAUUCUUGCUGGCACAGUGCCGUGCUGGUGCAGGAGCCCAUGCCCAUGUCUGCUUUGGCUGCAUCCCAACAAUUCCUGCCCAGCAGGCUCCGCUCUAGGCCAAGUCCCUGGGAGACCGAGGCAGAGCCAUGCUGUGCAUGGCUGUCAUGUGGAAUGAGCAGAGGAAGCACUGCUUAGGGUCUGGGUGGUUGGUGCCUGCGCAGGACGUGCCCACUGAGCAUCCUCAUGCCUGGAGUGGCUGCCCUGUGUAUCACAAGAGAGGGAGCUGGCGCCUCGGUGCUCAGUGCUGCAGGGCGGCAACUGCGGGGUCUGUCCAGAGGCAUCACAGUUGUGACUUUUACAAAAUGCAAUUUAAAUGCUUCAAAUUUUGAAUUACUCUACUAGCAAACACUCUUGACUGUUGGACCCUGGAAGGUAUCACACCAUCCAAAAUAAACCCUUCCUUUAUAGCCAGCCAGACCUGCCUGCCUCAUGUCUGCGUGACCUGGACCGUCUCACCUUGGUCAUGAGUCUCCCCUUGGCUGGGGGGCCUUGCAGAGCUUCUGGGCUCACAGCCUGGCGAGGGCUCUCUGCUACCCACAUGGUGCUGUCGUCUCGGUCACUGCAGGUCAGGAUUCCUGCAUCCCAGGGAGGCUUGUGCAGGAGGCGAUGCUCAAGUUAAUGCCACGGGACAGACCGGCUUCCUGGGUGCCCUGCCUUCCUCGAGUUUGGGGCCUACGCUGGGAUGGUAAAGGGUGUGGUGCAAGUUGCUGACCUUCACAAGACAGUAGGGCUUCACUCAGGCGGUGCCCCUCCAUCUCACAGAGGGACACAUUGAGGCUGGUGUGCACAGGGCUGUGCUGAGUGCUGGGGAAGACGGACGUGGACUGGACUUGGACCGACCAGGCCGUGAAGGGCUGUGCGGCCCUGGGGGUCCCCAGGGUGAGCGCUUGUGGAGACAUGAGGUAGGCAGAGAGACUGGUACCAGAGGCGGCUGAAAGUCGUGCUGACAACAUCAUACCUGCCUUUGAAGGUUAAAAAAAAAAAGGACCCUAAGACUUCAGGGUCUGCUGGUGGCAUUUAGGACAGACUUGGAAGGGAGCACAUAGGGCACCGAGGACGUCCUCCCAGGGCUGUUUGAGAAGGAGCUGGAUGCCUUGGUCCUCUCCCUCGCUCCCCGGAGUUGACAACUGCCUCCUUGUUCCAGGGAGAGGGACGGGUCCUGGGAGUGGGGACUCUACCACCCGUGAGGGUGAGGUUGAGAUGGCCAGGCCUUUCCCUCUGCACCAGCUGUUUUGUUUUUUUUUGGUGGUAGUGGUAGGGGGAGGAUCCAGUCAGCCAAGAAGAGCCAGAGAGGCUUACACCAGGCCCUGUCCAGUGGCCCAGCACAUCCACCCACCCAAGAUCCAGAGCCAAGCUUUUGACAGGAAGUGGAGAAGCAUCGUCAGUGUCUCGGAGGUAAAUGAAAUCGACGUGGUCAUCCAAAAGGAGAACAGGAGGACCGAGGAACAGAGGGCGACUUCAACAGUGACCCUGCCAGCGCACGAGGCAGACUGGUCAGCCGCCUUGCAGGAGUCGGGGAACCUCAGGAGCAAGACUGACACAUAAACUGUGACCCCCUCAAAAACAGUCCGUUUGCUGUCCAGGUGGAAUAAAGGCAUUUUCAGAUGUGUACAUUUUCAAAACUUUAUCUCCCACCUGCCCUUUUUCAGGAAAAAGAAGAGAUGGAGCCAGGAAAACACUCUCACAGAAGGGAGACACAGUCCCAGGACGGCAGUGCCCAGGGCCUGGCCACCCUGCCUGCCGGGCCUCCAGGGUCGCUUGUCAGCGGCUUAUGUGACUCUAGUGUCCCCUCCGCUUCCAUGCUGGUGGACUCUGCCUGUGCCUUUCUGGGGCUCACCUGGGACUCGCCCCGCUGCUACUGUGCUCAGCCCUCUGUGGUCCUGGCCCGUGUCCUGGCGGCUGAGGGCCGGGUGAGGAUGGAUGCUGGGGGAGAUGAUUCUUGCUUUCUGGACCACAUUCUGGGUCAACAGGCUGCUGACGUGAGAACUUGCAGAGUCUUGGUGGGAAGAGAGGCCACUGAAAAGGUGGUGAAGGUCCCUGGGGCGUGCCGUCUGUGAUGGCCAGCAGGAGCCUGCCUGCCGGAGCUCUGGCUCACACCUCUCAGGAAGAAGUGCUCUGGAGAUUCCCAGCUAAAAUGAGGCCCCCGUACCCCACCCAUGGAGCCCUCUGCCCCACUUUGUCGUCUUGCUUUCCUGCACCAGCUUUGCCUUCGGUGCACUUGCUGUUCGUUUAAAAACAAGCAAAACAGCUUUGACCUCUACCCCUAGGCUGCAUCCCUGAACCUUCCAUCCUUCCUCCUUGGUCAUGAGCCCAUCCCCCACUGCCUGUCUCCAGGGGCCGCCAGCACCCUCUCCCACACCCCUACCUCCUCCAGCCCUCACCUCAUUCAUCAUGCCUGUAGACACAUUGGUCAGGAAAAGUGGGAUUACUGCUGUGUGCUGAUUUCUCCUAAACUUGCAUCCAAAACUCAGAUCUCUUCCCGAACCACAGGUGCCUGUGGCUGAGCAGCUGCUUGAUGCACAAAGUGCCUCGCCUGCCUGCUGGAGAGCGUCGUCCAGCACCGUCCAGCACCGUCCAGCCCUGUCCAGCUCCAUCCAGGUGGCACUGCCCCACUGCCCUGGCUCAGCCCACGCCACCACAUGGGUUGUUGUCUGUAUACCCAUUUGGGCUGCAGGCGGGGUGCUGGGAGGCGGGACACCCACCACAUGGGAUGCUGUGGAGACUUGAGGUGCUGCAGCGCCCACAGCAGAUGACACCCAACUCUGAACGUGUAGAAAACUGUGGAGAGAGAACCAGCAGCUCUGGGGAUCAGGGAAAUCCAGUGGGAAUCUUGAGGAACACACGGCCUUGUCUGCGCAGUUUAAAACUACAGGGGACUGACUGACAGGGUUGGGAAACGGCACCUGCAUGCUGGAUGGGAGCUGGGUUUAGGGCAGACAUGGAGAGCUGGCAGCUGUGGCUGUCCGCAGGCCCAGGUUUGCUCGGAACUGCUGGCUGGCAUGUUCUGUUGUCUGCUCACCUAUGGGUUAUCAGUUACUGCGGGAGUGGUCUGAGAUCUCCCACCAUGACCGUGUCUAUGUCUCCCUUUGGCUUGGCUGUCUCUAUGCCUGAGGCUGUGUUGUCCUGUUUUGUCUUCCCUUUGUUGGCCCUUCGGAGUGGCGGCGUGUCCCUCUCUGGGCACUGCUGUUUCCUCCCGGUAUCAGUGCCCCCCACUGAAUGCUCAGGGGACUGGCCUGCCGUGCCCCAGACCUGCAUCACCGCUCAGGAAGUGCCAGCUCUUUCAGGGCUGCUGCCUUCUGGGGCCUUGGUACGCCCUCCUUACUCUCCUCUUGUGCUGCGGCUUAGAAGGGUAGGUAGCCUGCUGCAUCCAAGGCCCUUGGAGAAGGGGCAAAAUUGGAGACACCUUUCUGCUGUGCCCUGGCCCCCCUUUUCCACCACCCUCUCUCCCCUCCAUCUCUCUCUCCCCUCCCCCUCUCCAUAAUAGCAGCAGGUAUGGGAGGUUAAAUAGCCCUGGGAGGGCUCUAUUGAUUAUCAGUGCAACCCAGCUUUAGGAUAAGGGAUCCAUUAUCCUCUCAUUUGGCUCCUCCAUGAGGGACCUGCUUCAGGAAUGGCUGGAUCCAGCUGCUAGGUGGUCAUUCUCCUUUUCCCCAUUAUUUAUUUCUGCCCACUUAAUUUUUUCGAGAAACCUCCCCCUGCUGGGGACAAAAUGAUCCAGCAGCUGCAGGCCCCAAGCCCCACCCUAGUGCUCCCAGCAGGCCAGGUUUGUCUUCUGCUGCAGUUCUCUGGAUGCUGCCUCUGCACUGUGUCCUUCCUGUGGGGUCAGGUGCAGGCACUCAGACCCCCGCAGGGCCCUGGGGAAGGGGUCUGGUAGCAGAGAGGAGGGGGAGGAGCGUAGAUGGCUGGCCCCGGUGGCAGGUGCUGGGCCCAGCAGGACCUACAGAGCGUGAGUUCAGGUGCUGGCCUUUUCAAAAUGGGACGUAGAGGUUCUGCCUCAUAAGCCUUGUUGCCUGACCUGAAAGGGUGAGGACCUCAGGCAGGUGUGGAGUGGGAAGUGGGAUGGUGCUCUUGCCGGUCGUUACAUGGUAAAUAGGAGGUGCUCCGUAGAUGGUUAGGGCUGUGCCCUUAGAUGCUGAAGCUAGAGGCAGAUUUGAGGAGCCAGUGCGUCUUCGUGGGUGUCAGGUUCCAGGCCAGCCUGCUGGGUUGUGGUUCCGGGCUUGCUGCCUCGCCCCGUCCUCUUAAGUAUUUGUGGGGUGACUGCCCUCGUGUGAGGGGAGGCAGACCCAUGAGCCGCUAUGAGCUGCACAUGGAUGAGGAGACCCGCCUGCCGGCCCUGUGCCGCUGCGUUGUGCUGAGCAGGCAGGCCGGCCGCUGUGUCGGAGAGACUGCACUGCUCCAGCUUUCCUCGGAGGUGAUGCUCAGCUCUGGGCUCCCCACUGGCAACUGUCCUGUCACUUUCCGACCCUCCCGACAGGCAGGUCUGCGUCACUUCUCAGUCAUAUGCCAGGACGUCUGGCUCUUGGGAGUUGGGUCUGGCAAUGAUCGCGGGUGACUGCUCACUGCCCACUGCCUGCUGCCUGGGGGCGGGGCCGAGCAGCUCGGCCUUUGACCUUUGUUAGGAAUGUACGUUAGCCCUGGUUUGUGCCAGUUUUCAGGGAUGUUCCAUGGCUGGUCCCCUGAGAUGAAGCCUCUCUCAGGUGUGAGGCCUCUGCCCACCGUGCGACAGGCCACCUGGCAGGCCUGCCUCUGGAAGCACCUUCUGCGCAUACCCCUGGGGCUGCACAAGCUUUCUCCGGAGUCAGUGUGUCCACUCUUGACCAUCACAAUUUCACAUUCUUACGUUUAAUGUGACUGGAUCUUUAAAAACCUGGUCUGGCAGACUUGGUCCUACCCUGACCACUGGUCUGUUUGUGUUUAUUGAAAUUAUUAUAUUUGAAGUUAUUUCUAUCAUCUUACCUCACACUCUAUUUUCCUAUCAUUUUGGGACAGAUUGCUGUUUUCCUCUUUUCUUAGCUUCUUUUGUAUUGAUUAUUUUUUCUUGAUUAUUUUUUCUUAUUUUUUUUUUCUCCUCUAAUAGUUUGGAAUUCAUUCACUCAGCUUCCAUAGUGGCUGCCCUGGGUAUUUUAACACGCAGAAUUCAUUUAUCAAAUCUAAACUUAAUUGAUAUUUUUAGUCUCCUCCAAACAAUUCAAAGCUCUUAGAACUUUAAGAGUCUCAUCACUCCCCUCCCACCUGCAGGCUGGCCUCUCCCUCUCCCAGCCCACAGCUCCUGGCCCUCCUGCUGGGGGCGUCUCUGAGUGGGUCACCAGCUGGGCCCAUCCAAGGCUGUCUCUUCCAUCCCUGCUUCCUCCAAACCGAACAAGAUCAGCUACUGGCCAGGCCCUCAGAUGCCGGACAGCAGAGGGCCCCUUGAUUUCUUCUGCUCCUGGCUUCCUCAGCCUUUGCCCUCUGAGGUUCCAAACUUUCUUCCCAUCUAAUCUAUGGAUUAAAAAAAUUUUUAGUAGUUUUAAA